CUGGCUUCCUUCAGUGGAUGGUCUGCUCCCCUUAAAUGCAUUAGUGGGAUCUCUUGUGGACCGUCACUUGGUGUGAUAAUUAUCUAUGCCAACGUUGACUUUGAAGCAAAUCUUAUGGGAACCCGCUCAUAACCGUCUGCUCUGCGGACAACUUUUGACAAUUUGACCUCAAAUCAGGUAGGACUACCCGCUGAACUUAA
rnacentral:misc_RNA from 1 species